ACACGCACAGCCAGACUGCGUAAAGAAGCUGGCAGGAACACGCCCCUUAGGUGGAAAAGGAUCGAAACCGACACGCGGCACAAUGUCAGAGAGCAGGCGGUUCCUCAAGGGCCUCAAAGACAAACCGCAUCAUGUCACCAUCGCUCUGGAGGACUGGCAUGCUGCCGUGCGCGGCAGGGUCAAGCCCUUGUCGCACCUCUACGGUGUUUCCGAUCGUGAGGUACGUAGGGAGAUUCAGCGUGGCAACGUGGAGAACAGGACGUUUCGCAUCCGGCACAUCGUCCCGCUCUUUGUGUCGAAGGAGGAGCUGCUCUGCACGGAAAAUCUGCGGCGCAUCGCGAAGGAGCGCAACCUCGAUUUGGGUGCUCUCAAGCGUUCCAGACACUGCAAGCCCGCACAGGCGUACGACGCAGGCGUAAGGAGCGUGCCUCCUGCACUGCCAUUAGACAUUGGCGGUGCGCUUGCACAGGUGCUCACCACACGCCUGACAACGUGCUUUGGUCUUCACCUCAUCGUCACCGUUCAAAACGAAGACGCUGAGCAGAAGAGCGCGCCGUCGCUGCUGAUGGAUGCGGCGGUACGCGCGCACCUGGAGCGGUUGCCGCUGCCCGUCUUACACCGCCUUAUUUCAGACCUGUGCGAGGUCCGUGCGGCAUGGAAGCGAGACCUUCUUGCUCCCAGUGCUGCAGCCGCUGUCCAGGAGCAGGCGCUGCUAGGCAGAGAGUCCAUCAAUGCGCUUCUCUACCACGUUUGCCUCUGGCAGCGCCGGUACCCUCUCGAGCUCUUGUCCGCCGUGCUCUCCUUCUACGAUGAGCACAAGCACCUUUUCUCUCCUGCUAUUUCAGAGAGAUGCUCGGCACCAGCUCAACUUGAAUCUCUGCUGGAGGAAGUGCACUGUCUGCAGUAUCCGGACCUAAGUGACGUGCCGGGGCUAAUCCGCUGCGACGUCUUCAUGACGUACCCCCAUAUGCCGCUGGAGGAGCAGCGGCAGCUGAUGCACAAGAUCGCUGCGGCUGCGGUUCACCGAGAGGCCGCUGGCAGCCUGCAACGCCAAAGCAGCAGCAUGGGAGCCGAGGAGGAAUAUGCCACCGACAACUUGCUGCGACACUCUCGCACUCCUCCUGACCCACGGCUGCUUCUUCGCUCCUUCGUGGCGGACGGUGCUGCAACCAUACCGGAGCGUUUUUGCACUGACAUGCCAACGCAGACGUACCACGAGAUGCGAGCUGCCUUUGAACGCCACAAGCAUGACGGUGUCCGUCGCUUGGCCGCGCAGGACUAUGGCCCAGCGGCGACCGGACUUACCCCACCACCACCUCCUCCUCAGCCGGCAGCAUUUCCGGUGCCGCCGUGGUAGCUAGCUGGCGGCAUGCUGUUUCUCAACGCACAGAAGGCGAGACCGUCUCUGCGCGCGUGUGUGGGCGUCUGGAGGCGGGAGGGGUGGUGGUGCCUGCGUGGUCGGCCGACGUGACUCCGUCGUCUGUGGCCUUCGCUCGCUCUUCCCUUUGCGAGCAUGCUCUUUUAUGUGGUUGGAGGAACAAGCCGCUGCUGCGCUUCUCCGUUCGUCCUCCGCUCUUGGAUUCGUUUUUUUUUUUCUCUCUCUUUAGCCUCAUCCCUUUUGUCGUCAUCUCUACGACUCUUUCACUUUACUUUGUGCCACCCCUCCCCUCCCUCCCCCACACCACACACCACACGUUUCUCGCUCCAACAGAAACGGCGGCAGUUGUGGGCAAGAGGGCCCCGUAUGGGUGAGAGUGAGGCAGGAGAGGUUUUUUUUUGGCAGUUGUUGCACCUACACAAAUCCUCCUGCCGCCUUCUCACCCAUACGGGGCCCUCUUGCAAACGCCGUCGUCAAUCUCAGAUUUGGUUCUCGAGCUUGUUGUGUUACACGUCCCUCCGCCAACCUCCCCCUCCCCACCCUCACGCGUGGGGCAGCGUAGCCGCGCAACACGGCUCUUGGUAUUCUAUCCUCCUUUUCUUCUCUUUCUUCUACACUGCGUCCCGCAUGUCCUCCUCCCCCCACUCCACUUGAGAUUCAGCGUGGCUGCGACAUUGAUGUGUGUUGUCUGCCAGGGUGUACCACGUCGCUGAGCUGAAGCCACCACUUCUCGUCUUUCACCGCAUACGUGACUCCUCUCCGCCCUCGUGUACGUGCACCAUCCAGAACUAUGAAAAAGCAUGAAGCGAAGAACUGCAGCAACACGCAGGCCGCAGAAGUAGCCAUGCACAUCCGUCUGCGCGCAGGUGGACACCUCCGUGUACUUAGACAGAUGACAGGUGAGAUGGUCAGCUGUGCGUACUUCCGAGCUACUUCUGUGGCCUUCUCUCAAUGUUGAUACCAUGGCGGCCCUUUGGCCAGCAGUGCGCGCCCCCCUGUCACCGCUGUCCGUGGCACCCCCUCUUCUAUAUCCCCAUCUCUCUCUGCAUGAACACAAUACAUGUAUUAUGCCUGGCCACGAUGUUUGGCUGACGCUGCUGCCGCCUCCGUUCUGCAACGUGGGGCCCCUCAUCUCCUCUGCCUAUAAACAUUGUCGUGGUCUCCGACACAACGGGGAAG
rnacentral:misc_RNA from 1 species